rnacentral:rRNA from 1 species
GAUGAACGCUGGCGGCGUGCCUAAUACAUGCAAGUCGAGCGAACGGACGAGAAGCUUGCUUCUCUGAUGUUAGCGGCGGACGGGUGAGUAACACGUGGAUAACCUACCUAUAUGACUGGGAUAACUUCGUGAAACCGGAUCUACUACCGGAUAAUAUUUUGAACCGCAUGGUUCAAAAGUGAUUGACGGUCUUGCUGUCACUUAUAGAUGGAUCCGCGCUGCAUUAGCUAGUUGGUAAGGUAACGGCUUACCAAGGCAACGAUGCAUAGCCGACCUGAGAGGGUGAUCGGCCACACUGGAACUGAGACACGGUCCAGACUCCUACGGGAGGCAGCAGUAGGGAAUCUUCCGCAAUGGGCGAAAGCCUGACGGAGCAACGCCGCGUGAGUGAUGAAGGUCUUCGGAUCGUAAAACUCUGUUAUUAGGGAAGAACAUAUGUGUAAGUAACUGUGCGCAUCUUGACGGUACCUAAUCAGAAAGCAACGGCUAACUACGUG